UAUUUUAUGCCUAAUGUAUGACUAAUUUGAAAAAUAACUCCUGUCUUUAUAGCGAAAACAUAGAAUUUGUUGAGGAGAUGUACCAGAAGUAUCUUCAAGAUGAUAAAUCAAUAGGAAAAGAUUGGUGUGGAGUUUUCUCAGGUGAUGUAGAGAAUAACAAUGCAGCGACUUCUUAUAAUGCACAAAGUAUAAAGGUAGAUAAUUUAAUUGCAGAAUUAGCAAAUUUUUUUAGAUCUUAUGGACACUUUUUUGCAGAUUUAAAUCCUUUGUCAUCACGUGAAAAUCAACCAAUAGAUUACAGAAAAUAUUCUGAUCUACAAGAUAUAGAUUUAAAUAAAUCAAUAGAUCUUAAUGGGCUAUUCAACAAAGGUAAAGUAACUGUUGGUGAGUUUAUUUCUACAUUAAAAGGAAUCUAUUGUAAA
rnacentral:lncRNA from 1 species